ACCUGAUUUUAUUUAUUUAAACAAACUACUAAUUAUAUUGAACCAAAGAAAAAAAACAACGACCGAAAACCCUAUCUAUUACGAAGAAAAUAUGUACCUAUUGUAGUUUACUUGCUCGUAUGCAUACGAAAAGUUUACAUUGUAGCAAAUAUAUAGUGACCAAAAGUAUAUAAAAAAUAAACAAACUUAUCUUAUCACAACAAUAUUUGAAUGCGUUGAAAGUCCGUAGGAAAUUCCCUUUUGGCACGAUAAAAUGGUUGGCUGCUGUGGUAAGUAAGUCCUACUAUAAGGUCCUGGGUGAAGUAGAAAUCAGGUAAUGGUUUUCAUCAACAAAACAGUGAACUCCACGAGGAAACCUUAACAGAGAUGCUACUAGUUCAAGGGGUACAUAUUUGUGUAGAUUGACGUAAAGUUACGUUACGUGACAAAAUGACUAUGAGUCUAAAUAGGUGACUAAGUGACGGAAUCUAAAAUAAAGUUUAUUUAAUUAGUUAUGAUGUAUUUCAAUAACAGUAGCAGUACAUAUUGAACAGGCCCAAA
rnacentral:lncRNA from 1 species